GACGAACGCUGGCGGCGUGCCUAAUACAUGCAAGUAGGACGCACAGUUUAUACCGUAGCUUGCUACACCAUAGACUGUGAGUUGCGAACGGGUGAGUAACGCGUAGGUAACCUGCCUAUUAGAGGGGGAUAACUAUUGGAAACGAUAGCUAAUACCGCAUAACAGUAUGUAACACAUGUUAGAUGCUUGAAAGAUGCAAUUGCAUCGCUAGUAGAUGGACCUGCGUUGUAUUAGCUAGUAGGUAGGGUAAUGGCCUACCUAGGCGACGAUACAUAGCCGACCUGAGAGGGUGAUCGGCCACACUGGGACUGAGACACGGCCCAGACUCCUACGGGAGGCAGCAGUAGGGAAUCUUCGGCAAUGGGGGGAACCCUGACCGAGCAACGCCGCGUGAGUGAAGAAGGUUUUCGGAUCGUAAAGCUCUGUUGUUAAGGAAGAACGAGUGUGAAAAUGGAAAGUUCAUACUGUGACGGUACUUAACCAGAAAGGGACGGCUAACUACGUGCCAGCAGCCGCGGUAAUACGUAGGUCCCGAGCGUUGUCCGGAUUUAUUGGGCGUAAAGCGAGCGCAGGCGGUUAGAAAAGUCUGAAGUGAAAGGCAGUGGCUCAACCAUUGUAGGCUUUGGAAACUGUUUAACUUGAGUGCAGAAGGGGAGAGUGGAAUUCCAUGUGUAGCGGUGAAAUGCGUAGAUAUAUGGAGGAACACCGGUGGCGAAAGCGGCUCUCUGGCCUGUAACUGACGCUGAGGCUCGAAAGCGUGGGGAGCGAACAGG
rnacentral:rRNA from 1 species